UUUAAUGUGAUGAUUUGGAAGACUUACUGAGGUGCUGGUUACUGUCCACUCUGUGCAUACCAUGCCACAGAAGUCACUACGGGCAGCGGUGUCACUGCAAUCUGCCCUAAUAAAGCGAUACAUGCCAACCAGAGGACUGGCUCUCACUUCGAACUCUUAGCCAGAGUUUUCUGAAUCUAUUUCUGUAUUUCAAAUUGACUUAGGGAUUAGAGGAAGGGUAUGGAAGUGUUGAUUGUUUGUCUUGCUGCUAUGUAUCUCCGGAUUCUGUUUCUCCCAGAAUUUGGUGGCCUCUUAACUACCAUAAGAAUCCAUUUGGGGUUAUUGUUAUCCAUUUCGUCUUUGUAGCCCUUUCUCCAAAGCUGGCGAGGAAUGUAUAUUCCCAGGGUUAGAUAUAACUUUAUACCUGUCUUGGACUGAAAAGAAACCACACUGAGCUUUGUGGAAUUUUGAUUGUGAGUGUGAGGAAGUUAGGGCCACUUCUCAGCUUUCUCUCCUGGAUUCUGUUGUCAUGGUAGCAAAGGUACCCAGUCCCUGCCACCCCCGCAGGGGUUAAGCUCUACACUAAAAAUGGAGACUGAUGACUUUGGGGAGUCAUGUGCUGUUGAGGGCCAGGCGCAAUUAUCCCUACCCUCGAACUCUCUCUUAUUCACUUUGGAAAAACUUUACAGAUAAGGCUUUGUCCCAGAAAGCUUCAAAGAAAAUAGUUUCUCAAUCUGGCUUAGAGUCCUUAGGUAAGAAAAGAAAGAAGACACAUGUGCCCGCCCCCCAUCAGGCAACUGGAGGGAAAAAGGAGCAUGCAGAAGUGUUGGAGGAAGUGGGCCAAGCAGGAGAGCGAUGCUGUUAUUCCUCCCUGGACACCAACACUGAAGCCCCCCGAUUCCAGCGAGUCUGUGCGGAGAUGUUUAGCCAGCCCAGAGCAGCAUGGACUCCUAACCACGCACAGGCUGCCCCUCGUCAACUUCUCCUGAGAGACUUGCUGAAAAAGCAAACCUGGGAAAACCCUUGUAGGUUCCUGACUAUGAGUCCAUCUUUUUUAUUCCCCAACAAAGGUGUCCAACUAUUAGAUCAAUGGGUAGCGGCUAAUUGAAGUUUUGGGUUACUGCUGACAUGGAGAAAACUGUGUUAUGGUUGGAAACUAAAUUCCUUCCCAAACGCUACUGCUGUCCAAUUUUUGUUGUUGUUUUCACAUAUGUAAAUGACAGGCUUGUGUGUUAAGGGCACAAAUCAUACUUGGAACCAAGUAUUUUUUUUAGCUCAGCCUGCCUUCUGUAGACUCUGUCCGUAACUACCAGCUGUGGUGAAAUGAAUGCUAGAUUACUUUCUACCUUCAUACUCAAAGCAGUCAUAUCCAACCACCCCUAAAACCUCACAGUGUUGGGAGAAGUAGAAGGCUGAGAGGCCACAGAAUGAAUUUCACUGGGAGUUCUACAUGGGGCACCCCUAUAACCAGUGUCUGAUAUGGCACCCCUUGUGCACAUGGCUUUCCUGGAGGUUGUGCUUAAAGAGAAACAGAAAUUAUCUUAGUGUCCCAUUCAUCAUUCUUCGAUCAAUGGCCUUAGAGCAGGCUGUGCUAUACUGUUUCCUAACCCAGAGGAAUCCUGUGGCAAAGAGACUGUGGUGAUCCCCACUGUUUAAGAAGGUGGAGAGGGAAAGUCAGUCAAGGUUUCUAUAUAAGAACACAGGCUAUAUUUCUUAGCCUUUUAAAAUUGUAUCCUAACAAAAGUUCAAUUAGGACACCACCCUGCCCCACAGUGCAGACAUUUGUCCUAUCCACUAGGUGGCGCUGUGCCUUAUGUUUUAGAAGUCUCUCAAGCACGCAAAACACGCCAGGUAAUUUUUUUUGACAAGUUCCUUAAAUCCUUUACUUAUAAAGAUGAAAGUAAAGCUAACAUUCACAGCUGAUGCACGAUAUCAGAUAUUUAAUCUAAAAAUUCAUCAAAAUUAUUGGACAGUGUUCAGUUCCCAGGGCCUGCAUACCCAUUCACGCCUGCUGCAUACUCUGGCGUGGCCGUUCAUUCAGCGUUACUGUUGCUGUUGGGUAUAAAGCUCCUAGCGGUGUGAGCCAAUCCGAGAACUAGGCUCUGAGGUGUCUAGGCUGUCUUCCUAACGCCAUCCUGGAGUGAAGGUGUCCAAAUUACGUUUAAAUGUUUUUAUUCUAACAAAGUAAUCCAUUUCUAGUUCUGUUCUCUAAGACAUAAACUUUAUAUUUAAUCAACUCCAGCUCAUUGUGGCUGCAGUUGAAGUGUUUUUGUUUCACUUUGAUUUUAAUUCAAUGUGUAAAGAAACCUGCUGCACUUAUUUGACAGAUGAGAAGCAGGCAGAGAGAUAAAGGGAUUUUAAAAGUUUCACAGCUAGUUAGAAGAGGGGCUCAAACUUGACACCAGGGUUCCUGAUACCUCAUUUGUCAGAGAGUUUAAAGAUCAUUUUUGACUUUCAAACAAUGCCUUAUUUUUACGUUGAUUAAUACUGUUUCUUAGCUAUUUGUACCCACCAUUUCCCUAACCUGUAUCCAACAAAAGGUAGUAGUUUCAUUAAAGAAUUCCUAAUUAACACUUGCAGUACAAAUAACAAACAUUUUAUCUUAACUUCUUGGAUUUGGCUGUUGUUAUGUAGAAGCAAGUUUCCAGAUGUGGGAACCGGAACUGUAUAGGAAUGAAUCGCAGGAAGUACUGAUUAUCCUCAAAGGGGCAUAAAACUCAGGAUUGGAGGGGGUUUUAUAGUUCAUGGAGUUCAAUCUUUGAUCUGUAUUCCCAUUCCAGUUCUUGGGACUAUUCCGUUUUCACAUGCUGAAAUCACAGUUUUUAUUAUAUUUAGCAAACAUGUGCUAGACAUUUUUCUAAGUGCUUUGUAAGUAAUACAUAAUCUUCCUAAUCCUUAUACAUUACUUUGUAAGUAAUGUAUAAUCCUGUGACGUAGGUACUCCUAAUAUCCCCAUUUCACAGAUGGGAACAGGCACAGAGAAGUGAGGUGAUUUGCCUGAGGGGUUAGAUAAGAGUCAGGAUCUGAAGUCAGGCAGUUUGGCUCCAGUCUAAGCUCUUAAUGACUUUAUACUAUGUUGCUCCAUAAAUUGAAAACAAAGAAAAAAGGAGGGACCAAGAUCAGGUAAUGCAACUCUAGCUGAUAGAAAUACCGAGGAGAAGCAGCUGAGUCUAGUGGAAAAUCUAGAAUCUUAGAGAUUGGCCAGCAAUCUGGGCAAAGCAGUUAAAUGCCAUGCGGGUCCUCAGAGACAACUUCACUGAUCGGCUCUGUGUCUUCGAGGGGUCUUUGCUCUCUCUGUUAGGCUUUGGCUUCCUCCUUGCUUAGCUAUACGAAACAAUGGGGCAGCUCCUAGACUGAGUUUUCAAGAAGGACUUACACAGCAAUCUCCCUCUUAAGCACUGUCCACCUGGAUAGUUUGAUAUACUUGGGUUGGUUUUCAGAGGUGCCAAUGGAAGAAUCAAAGCCACAAGCCAAGAAUGUGUGUAUUUCUUUAUCUCUGUCUCUAGCAGAUCAUGGUGCUUGCUGUUAAAAAGGAAAAUAAACAAAACAAAAAACGUU